UCAGAAGGACAGCAGAAGGGGGGAAGAGACACAGCUGCUCCUUAGGUUUUUUUUUUUUACCAUGCCACAGCCUUGUGGUGUGGGGCUGAUAGCUCCUUCUCUCUUCCCGGCUUUGGAAGGGCAGUGGGAGGGUGAGGGAGCUGCAGCCACUUCUGUUGUUUUCCGGCACAGUGAUGGGUGCUCCUUCGCUGUUUCUUCCCCCUCCCCUCCUGGCUUUGGAGGGGUGGUGGGAGGACAAGGAAGCCUGGCAAAUAGAAAAGCGGCGGCAAGCAGGCUGGCAUGGAGGUGGGCUAAUCGCGCUCUCGGAGGUGCCUCAACUGCACUCCCCAGAGGAUGGCGCCUUCUGCAAAUGCGUAGUUUGUGUAUAGCUUGAGCCAACCCUGAGCAUCCCAUUAGUUACUUCUUUUCAGGAUGAAGUAUAGCCACUGAUAAGCACUCUUUGGGUAUGUUUGGUCAACUAGUUCCCAACCCACCAAACAAUAGCAUUAUCUAGUCCACAUUUUACUAACUCUUUCCCUUGCCUUUUAAGAAAAGGAGGAAAGGGGGAGAUGCUUUUAUGUACUGUGAUCUUUUUUGCACACUUUUAUCAAUUAAUUCCCUUCUUCUGUCCUAUUUAAGAAAAGGUUUAGUUUCUCAUUAUUUCAAUUCCUGAUUGCUGUCGUUUCCUGCUCUUGUAUUUAUUUUUGUUAGUAUUAUGCUGCUUCCAGGCAGACUGGAAAGAGAAGAAUUACCACCAGGAUAAACAACACAACUGCUGCACAGAUGCUGCAUAACUCAUGCCAGAUACUAAAGCAAAGCAAAUUGUGGUUAUUGAGAGGGCUUUUGAACUUCAUGCAAGGAAAGCUAGCACACCAAGUGACCCUGUUCAUUAAACCUCACAACUGAUGUCUUUGUAGAGGUGAAUAAGUAAGUUUUCAUGGCAAUUCUAAGAUUUUAUUUCUAUCCUACGAAGGCGUACAUAUGCUAUGAUAAAUUCCAUAUUCUUUUGCCCUUUCUAUCAUCACAAAAGGCAUAGUUUCAAAGUGAUUGUAUUUGUGUAGAAUAUAAAUAUCCCAGAGCCUCUGCCAAAUAAUUUUAUUGGACUACGGCUCCCAGAAUCCCAUACAGUUGUCAUGCUUAGGUCAGGCUCUGGAUGAUUCUGUGAGCAUAAUUUUCCCAUGCUCUGGACUAGUGCUAAACUUUUCCUUUUACUAGGCAUUUAUCAAUGUACAUCACAAUACUGUGACUCUGGAGACCAGGUUUGAACCCCUGCUUGGCCAGGAAAACCUGCUGGAUGACCUUGGGCAACUCUCAGUUCCAGAAAACUUGUGAUAGGUUUGCUUUAGGGUCAUUGUAAGUCAGAAAUGACUUGAAAGCACACAACAGAAAUUCACAUGUUUGUGGACAACACAAGAUGAAAGAGCAUGGCCAAAAGAUAUUAACACUAGUUUUCAUCUGAUUAAUUUGAACAGAAUCUUCAUUCACAGAAUAACCAUCAGCUUUGCUGCUAUGAGUGCUAUCGUCAGGAUAGAGAAACCAACGUUGUAGUUCUCUGAUGAAAGUGGCUGAUCACAUGGAGCUCGCACAUCCUUGUUCUCAGCUUCCAAAAUGUGUUAAGUGAAGAUUUGGAAAAUAGUUCUGGAAUUUCAUGGGCAUGCCUUCUCUUUGUAAACAAUAGCUGUGAUCAUCACCAUUGGUUAUGUUUUGCAUAAAGAGUCAAGCACAUUCUGAAUGGAUACUAGACGGGUAUAUGUUCUAGGGCAGCCAGAUGUGCUUUAUCAAGGACAGUCAUCUUUCUGAAAUAAUUCCUCUGUAUUGAAGGACUAAAUUCUAGAUGACCUGGUGUCUCUUUGGACCACUAUAUAGUUUGGACUUCGAGCAAGGACUAGAGACUUGUACGGAGCAAAAUGUGGAUGUGAACUGAUGACUUAUAUAGCAAAAUGUAGAUGUGGCCUCAAGUGACUGCAUUACUUACCAACUAACUCAGAGACACAAGAGGAAGAACUGAAAGAUUCUAUGAUGGCCUGACCUAUCUCACAGAUUUGUGGUUUGAUGAAAUGCAGAGGAAAACAGCCAUGAACACUACAUUGAGCUCUUUGGAGGAAAGACAGGAUAUAAAUGUGUUAGCAAUAAUGAAAUAAACAUUGCAAAUGUU